rnacentral:tRNA from 1 species
AGGGUAGUGGCGAAAUGGAAAAACGCGUGCGACUUAGGAUCGUUUGAGCUCAAGCUUUUGCCCGUUCAAGUCGGGCCUGCCUUA